UCGGUGACAAAACAUUUCAACUGGUACUCGGCCGCGUCAGGUUGACUAGGUCGUAGCGCUCGACGAUUACAUACAUUCUAAAUAAUUACAAUAAUUAACGAUCAAUUUGCAUCUCUCACUGUCUUAGGUUUCACUCGAGAUCCACGCAAGGUCGCCAAGCACACGUAGCACGCGUGUCUCGUUAUAUCACAAUUCCGAUAUGCGGGUACACCGUACGAACAGCAUGGAACUUUGUCAUGCCUCGCAUACUGCCUAUCCUUACUUGUCAAUUCUAGCACGGUUCCACUUGCUACUAAACGAUAAUGUCGCUGACAAUCACCGAUAACCUGCAUUAUCGAUGUUCGUACGCAUUAUAGUGUUGAAGAUAGCACAGCAUAGCAGUUGAAAAUUGAAAGAAUGAAAUCAAUUUUGUAAUAGCUAUUACAGUGACGGACAAAGGAAAGUGUAAAAGCUGCUUAUUCAUGGAGGUUUAAAAAUAUAUAGUUCCAUUUAAAAAAAAAGGCAAUGAUGGCCUUAAAAUCUCAUAAAAAAAACGAUCCUGGACAAAAUUAUAUUCCGUCAUUGUAAGUACACAUCUAAACAGUGCAACUUUGUCCUAACAUUUUUUUUCACAGAACAACAUAUAUCGAGAUAUUCAAGAUGAACAAAGUUAUUACUACAUUACCAAUAUAAUUAUAAAUAUAUUAUAAUUACCAUUAUAAGUGUCUCUCAAAAUAGUACACCUUUGUCCUGAUAAGUUUCAUCAUAGGACUACGAAUACAAGAAAUAUUCAAGGAACCUUAACGCCAUCAAUCACGAAGUCUUCAUGCUUCAUUUCAACGAAAACGAUGCCAACAGGCUUGCAAGAAGGCCACGUUCGCGUGCAUUAGUGUCUAUGCUAAAACGAAUUAACGACAGUGUCUACAAAUUGUCGACAAACGACUGGCAGGUUAAUGUUUUAUAGCAAACCGGAACAGGAAACAUCAUUGAAGCGUGCAACCACAGCAUCGAUGAGAAAAAGUCGCGAACAACGAGGUUCUUUAACUACCGUCCUUCAGAACACACUACAAAAGACAGAUAAGCACAACACUCUUGCUUUUAUUGUUAUACAAUAUCUAAGUAAUAUCUAAAUAAAUAAGUACACUAUCUAGUUUAUUCAUUAUUUGGGAUAAAAUUGAUCGAUGUCUGAUUUUAGGUAUCUAAUGCCUGUAUGAUGAAUAACCGAUUUAGAAGUUUUAUUAGACAUUAUAAAUGUAAUUUUUUUCAUUCAUUAUUCAGAAUAAAAUUUACACAAUUCUGUUUUCAGAUGUCAAUUGUUAGUCGAAUAAAUAAUAACUUCAAAAAAGUAAAAAAAUUACGCCAAGUACAUGAAAAAGUGGAGGACUCAAGGAGUUAUCAUUGAAAAAUAGAAGAUCCCCAUAAAAAACUACAAGAAAAUAGAAAAAGAUAUGAAAUCGAAAUAAGCUGCCAGAUGAUUUGCCUAGAUUUCCGCGGCCUGGAGUUCAAAUGCUUGGCGUGGCCAGGCAAGGCAUUCUUAGAUCAUCAAUACCCAUACUUUCUCACAGACUUUCAGAUAAUUUGUCAAUUUAAAACUCUGACAUUGUUAUGAGUGCACUUUCAUUGUUUUGCGUUUUAAAAUAAUUCUUAUUCAUCGACACCUUACCUGGUCACGCCAAGCAUUUGACUUCCAGGCCGCGGAAAUCUAGACAAAUCAUCUGGCAGCUUAUUUCGAUUUCACAUCUCUUUCUAUUUUCUUGUAGUUUUUUAUGGGGAUCUUCUAUUUUUCAAUAACUCCUUGGGUCCUCCACUUUUUCAUGUACUUGGCGUAAUUUUUUUACUUUUUUGAAGUCUUUUAUCGGAUCUCACUUCUUUUUACAAAUAAUUUAUUAUAUAGAAUCUAUUUUAAAUUUAUAAAAAUAAAAUUGAUAUUUCUGUAAACUCUACAUAAGAA